AGAACGAACGCUGGCGGCAUGCCUAACACAUGCAAGUCGAACGCUCUUGGGGCUUCGGUCUCAGGGGAGUGGCGCACGGGUGAGUAGCGCGUGGGAACCUGCCCUGUUGUGGGGGAUAACCGAGGGAAACUUCGGCUAAUACCGCAUAAGCCGGUUGUCUUGAAGGAGAUGGCCGGGAAAGAUUUAUCGCGACAGGAGGGGCCCGCGUCGGAUUAGCUAGUUGGUGGGGUAACGGCCCACCAAGGCGGUGAUCCGUAGCUGGUCUGAGAGGAUGAUCAGCCACACUGGGACUGAGACACGGCCCAGACUCCUACGGGAGGCAGCAGUGGGGAAUAUUGGACAAUGGGCGCAAGCCUGAUCCAGCAAUGCCGCGUGAGUGAUGAAGGCCUUAGGGUUGUAAAGCUCUUUCGCCCGCGACGAUGAUGACGGUAGCGGGAGAAGAAGCCCGGCUAACUUCGCGCCAGCACGCCGC
rnacentral:rRNA from 1 species